GCAUCCGUAGCCGGUUGCAUAAGUUUUCGGUUAAAUCUAUGCGCUCAACGUAUAGGCCGCCGAAAAUACUGUGCAGCUAGGGAGUGGGAGAGGUACACGGUACUCAGUAGGAAGGGGUAAAAUCCUUUGAUCUAUUGAUGACCACCUGUGGCGAAGGCGGUGUACCAGAACACGUUCGACGGUGAGGGAUGAAAGCUGGGGGAGCAAACCGGAUUAGAUACCCGGGUAGUCCCAGCUGUAAACGAUGCAGACUCGGUGAUGCAUUGGCUUGUGGCCAGUGCAGUGCCGCAGGGAAGCCGUUAAGUUUGCCGCCUGGGAAGUACGUACGCAAGUAUGAAACUUAAAGGAAUUGGCGGGGGAGCACAAGCCGA
rnacentral:rRNA from 2 species